rnacentral:rRNA from 1 species
GAGUUUGAUCUUGGCUCAGAUUGAACGCUGGCGGCAUGCCUUACACAUGCAAGUCGAACGGCAGCACGGGAGCUUGCUCCUGGUGGGCGAGUGGCGAACGGGUGAGUAAUGCAUCGGAACGUAUCCUGGAGUGGGGGAUAACGUAGCGAAAGUUACGCUAAUACCGCAUAUUCUGUGAGCAGGAAAGCGGGGGACCUUCGGGCCUCGCGCUCUUGGAGCGGCCGAUGUCGGAUUAGCUAGUUGGUGAGGUAAAGGCUCACCAAGGCGACGAUCCGUAGCAGGUCUGAGAGGAUGAUCUGCCACACUGGAACUGAGACACGGUCCAGACUCCUACGGGAGGCAGCAGUCGGGAAUUUUGGACAAUGGGGGCAACCCUGAUCCAGCCAUGCCGCGUGAGUGAAGAAGGCCUCGGUGUAAG